CUAAAACUGCUCUGAAACAAUAAAAUCUUAAAAAUAAAUUUUUAAAAAAUGUCCAUUCUACAGAUAUGGUAAAGUUGAGAGAGGCCAAUGCUGUUCAUCCCUUUGUCUACCUAGUAUGUCUGUGAUGAAACAAGACUUGGGAAAAGUUGAUGAAUAGCCCUAAAAAGAGGAUGCCAG
rnacentral:lncRNA from 1 species